AGUGAGGUGCGGCAAUGAAUUCUCAGAACUCAAACAGACACAGGCGCGUGUACCGCAAGCCAACAAUGGUCUCAACAUGAUUGGCAGGGCUGAAAAAUCGGCAGAUAUUACCCUUUUCGAGAAAGAUCGCACGAAUCAGUUUCAAGAUAUUAAAAUAUGAAUUCAGUGAGAAAUGAGAAAAAAAUGCAAGCUUUACUGCAUUUCCAAUGAAAAAUGACACGUCAUCCUGCAUUGUACGUCAAUAAAAAGGAGCUACCGACUUCCUUCAUGUCGGAUACUUAGGACUAUAUCUAGGCAGUAGACUGACGUGGAAGCCCCACACAAGACAAGAGACAACUAACUCAAGACUUGGACACCUAUGAAGACUUUUAGGAGCGAAAUCUGUUUUUACCAUAAAACACAACAUUCCUGCAACCAUUUCUGUUUGUGGCCCCAGCUUUUGAUAGGAUAUGUCUCUCAGGCAUCUUUAUAAACGGAAAAGCUUCCUAUCCUCAUUGUCUUAUACCGGAAUCAUAAUUAACUGAUCUAUGCGUCAAAACGGGGUGCCUUAACGAGUGCUCAGUUAACAGAUCAAUACAAGCCGGCGUCUCACAAGGAGGCAUUCUUGGUGUAUCCCGUUUAUACUGUUAAUUUUCCUAUGCAUCGCAACACCACCAUUACAUCUAAUCCUAUCAAAGCAGUCUCCAAUAUCCAGGAACACCAUCAACUUAUCAAGACUGGUGCAAACAAUGGUAGACAAUUCUAACUGUCCAAAAAUGUACCAGGUUUAAAUGUAAAUUAGAAAACGGCUCCCACAUCCAAUUACUUUGGUCUAAAUUGAUUCGAUCCCGCAUCCAAAACGGUCUUACGAAGCUCUUAACCUAUCCUAACCUUACUUCCCAAACCGACUCAACAAGUUUCCCUUCCUAGACUCCGCCUCGUUACCUCAGACGACGAUGGCUUAAAAGUCAUACUCACCUCUUAAUCUCUCAUAAUGAGUGUUAGCGUUGACUGUUUUCUCUAACAUGUGCCCUCCGAAACCCUGAAUGAUGUAAUUAAAAAAAGAAGAAACUUUUUUCAUUGCAAGACUGCAAGGUUUAACUUCUAAUAACACUGGAGUUUUUAUACUUCU